GUCUCCGCAAGGAGACGGCGCGAAAGGGCGGGAGGCCAACGCUCGACCGAAGGAACACAAAUGGGCAGUGAGGCCGGAUGUCGGGGGCGAGUGUGCUAGCGAACACGAAGCCCAAGAGCCACUGGCGACAUUCGGUAGCGCCCAGAGGCGCGAGCGGAUAGAACAGACA
rfam:Freshwater sediment metagenome lwMethane_BCGO5761_y1, whole genome shotgun sequence.